rnacentral:rRNA from 1 species
AUACGGAGGGUCCAAGCGUUAUCCGGAAUCAUUGGGUUUAAAGGGUGCGCAGGCGGUUUAUUAAGUCAGUGGUGAAAUCUCGGGGCUCAACCUCGAAACUGCCAUUGAUACUGAUAAACUUGAGUUCAGUUGGAGUAGGCGGAAUGUGUAGUGUAGCGGUGAAAUGCUUAGAUAUUACACAGAACACCGAUAGUGAAGGCAGCUUACUAAACUGAUACUGACGCUGAGGCACGAAAGCGUGGGGAGCGAACAGGAUUAGAAACCCCUGUAGUCC